rnacentral:tRNA from 1 species
GCUUGUUUAGCUCAGUGGAUAGAGCAUUGGUCUGUAGACUGAAGGGUCCCAGGUUCGAUUCCUGUCAAGGGCA